GGGUGGCGGCUGCUCCUCGGUGCGACUGCUGGUCACCUCAGUCUGGACCGAGCAGCUGGUGAGCUGCACACCACCAUCAUUGGAUAGAACGGCCGUCCUGCAUCGAUAGUAGAACAAGCAAUUCACACAAGUUAGUCAGCAACCAUGAUUGCGACACAGACAGUAUGAGUAGGCGGCACUUAUAGGGUGCUCUUCUUCUUCACUAGGUAGUUGGGGCACAAUGGUGGAGGCGG
rnacentral:lncRNA from 1 species